rnacentral:rRNA from 1 species
GAUGAACGCUAGCGGCAGGCCUAAUACAUGCAAGUCGAACGGGAUCCAGAUCAAAGCUUGCUUUGGUCUGGUGAGAGUGGCGCACGGGUGCGUAACGCGUGAGCAACCUACCCUUGUCAGGGGGAUAGCCCGGCGAAAGUCGGAUUAAUACCGCAUGACAUCAUUGAGAGGCAUCUUUCGAUGAUCAAAGAUUUAUCGGACAAGGAUGGGCUCGCGUGACAUUAGCUAGUUGGUAAGGUAACGGCUUACCAAGGCUGCGAUGUCUAGGGGCUCUGAGAGGGUAACCCCCCUCACUGGGACGGGGACCCGGACCGGACUCCUACGGGGGGCAGACGGAAGGAAUAGGGGGCAAUGGAGGGAAUUCGAAACCGGCCGCGCCGCUGGUAGGGGGACGCCCUGUUGGGUUUGAAAGUUUUUUUAUAGGGAAAAAAACGCAGGUACGUGGACGGGUCUGAGUGGACCGGAAGAAUAAGGGUCGGCUAACUCCUG